AACGCUAAAUUAACAGCUGGGAGCAACAGCAUUCUUGUGAGGUGAGCCCUGCGGGCUUGCCCAGGACGCACUGAAUCAACCCUUCGGGGGCUCCGCUGGAGACUAAAGAGUCAAUCUUGGGUGCACCGGGUUUUUUGAGCUUUGCUCGUAGGUGAUCCCUUCGUGGACCCGGAUGGGAUCUGGUGCAAUGAUUGGCCCAACAUUA
rnacentral:snoRNA from 1 species